rnacentral:rRNA from 1 species
UACGUAGGUGGCAAGCGUUGUCCGGAUUUACUGGGCGUAAAGAAUGCGUAGGUGGAUAUUUAAGUGGGAUGUGAAAUCCCCGGGCUCAACCCGGGAACUGCAUUCCAAACUGGAUAUCUGGAGUGCAGGAGAGGAAAGCGGAAUUCCUAGUGUAGCGGUGAAAUGCGUAGAUAUUAGGAGGAACACCAGUGGCGAAGGCGGCUUUCUGGACUGUAACUGACACUGAGGCAUGAAAGCGUGGGGAGCAAACAGG